rnacentral:rRNA from 1 species
UACGUAGGGUGCAAGCGUUAAUCGGAAUUACUGGGCGUAAAGCGUGCGCAGGCGGUCCGUUAAGACAGAUGUGAAAUCCCCGGGCUUAACCUGGGAACUGCGAUGGAAACUAGCGAGCUGGAGUGUGGCAGAGGGGGGUGGAAUUCCGCGUGUAGCAGUGAAAUGCGUAGAUAUGCGGAGGAACACCGAUGGCGAAGGCAAUCCCCUGGACCUGUACUGACGCUCAUGCACGAAAGCGUGGGGAGCAAACAGG